UCCCCUGUGGCACAAUUGGCUAGCGCGUUCGGCUGUUAACUCUCCAAUGGAAGGGUAACCGGAAGGUUGGUGGUUCGAGCCCACCCGGGGGAG
rnacentral:tRNA from 1 species